ensembl:lncRNA novel transcript, 3' overlapping ncRNA IGF2
GAGCCCACAGAGCAGGAGAGCUGCCAGGUCUGCCCAUCGACCAGGUUUGCAGCUCUCCCCUGGGCCACUAACCAUCCUGGCCCGGGCUGCCUGUCUGACCUCCGUGCCUAGUCGUGGCUCUCCAUCUUGUCUCCUCCCCGUGUCCCCAAUGUCUUCAGUGGGGGGCCCCCUCUUGGGUCCCCUCCUCUGCCAUCACCUGAAGACCCCCACGCCAAACACUGAAUGUCACCUGUGCCUGCCGCCUCGGUCCACCUUGCGGCCCGUGUUUGACUCAACUCAACUCCUUUAACGCUAAUAUUUCCGGCAAAAUCCCAUGCUUGGGUUUUGUCUUUAACCUUGUAACGCUUGCAAUCCCAAUAAAGCAUUAAAAGUC